rnacentral:ncRNA from 1 species
AAUGGCCAGUACAAACGGUUGCCAAGUCGCGAGACGGAGCUAAUCUGAGAAAGCUGGUCGUAGUCCGGAUUGGAGUCUGCAACUCGACUCCAUGAAG